AGUUAUUUAGCUUAAGAUUAAAGCAUGUAUUUUGAAAAUACAAGAUAGAGAUAUUUAAUGACUU
rnacentral:tRNA from 1 species